ACGCUCGACACCUACGGGAGGCUGCAGUUAGGAAUAUUGGGCAAUGGAGGAAACUCUGACCCAGCAACGCCGCGUGAAGGAAGAAGGUUUUCGGAUUGUAAACUUCUGAUCUAGGGGAAGAAGGAAGUGACGGUACCCUAGGAGAAAGCCACGGCUAACUACGUGCUAGCAGCCGCGGUAAUCUGAGCGGGCUGGCAAGGC
rnacentral:rRNA from 1 species